rnacentral:rRNA from 1 species
CAGUAGCCGCGGUAAUACGGAGGGGGCUAGCGUUGUUCGGAAUUACUGGGCGUAAAGCGCACGUAGGCGGCUUGGUAAGUUAGAGGUGAAAGCCCGGAGCUCAACUCCGGAAUUGCCUUUAAGACUGCCGAGCUAGCAGGUGAGAGAGGUAAGUGGAAUCCCGAGUGUAGAGGUGAAAUUCGUAGAUAUUCGGAAGAACACCAGUGGCGAAGGCGGCUCACUGGCUCAUACUGGACGCUGAGGUGCGAAAGCGUGGGGAGCAAACAGGAUUAGAUACCCCUGUAGUCCCUGUCUCUUAUAC